AAACACAACACGAUAAGCUAAAGUUAGAUAGUAGUAAAGCAACAUUAUGAAUUCUCCAUAGAACAGUUAAACUACUGGAUGUUUUAGCGUUGAGCAGCAAAACUAACUACACUAGAUGUGUAGCUGCAGAGCUACUUUCUUGGACAUUCAAGAUAACUCAAGACAUACGCCUACGCUUCUGGGCAAGAUUCUCAAAAAUCUUAUGAACAUCAGCAGAUGUAACUGGCUUUGAUGGAUCGAAGGAGGCCAGGUAGGUACCAAUCUCGUCUUUAAGGUCAGCGAUACCAGUCAAAACCUCCAUUUUCUCGACAUGGCCCAGAUUAUUAAGCAACUCAGCGCUCUGUUCUUGCUCAUGUUCAGCUAUCUUCUGCUUUGCCAGUUUCUCAUAUUCGGCAAUGGUAUCUUCUUUAUCAAGUAAGAAGGCGAGGCCUUUCUGUUUGUAGAAUUCUAUGCAAUUUGGACACCUACAAAGGACUUCUCUCCAGUCUUUGGAAAGGAACAUUGACUUGCUUUUCUCAAGGCUAUUUGGAGCUUCUAACAAAUUUAGUCCAACAACACAUUUGGUACUAGGACCAGCAUCUGUAUUACACUGAUUAAGGAAUGUGUUUGUUGCAGCAUUUUCUCCAAGAACAGUCUUUCCAUUGCAGUCUUGUUUAGGACUAUUAUCGGUUACAGGAGUCUCAAUUGCAGAACUUCCAUUGAUAAGCUCCUUAGAAGAUCCCACAGUCAAGGGUGCAUCUUCAACCACCUCCUUGUCCUUUGAGGAAUUUGUAGUAGUCUGCUGCUGGACUGGUGCAAAGAUAGAAUCAGGAUAUAGCUUUAAAAAAGAACAAACAGUUGCACACCCCUGGCAGAUUAAAUCCUCAAAUUGAGGCUCCCCUUUGUCAUCCCUUGGAACCAUAUCAGAGGACUCAAGACCAAGAUGCUCCUCAUGAAACCAGUCCUCACAGAUGCAGCAUUGGAGAUUCUCCAAUUGGUCUUCAACAUCAGGAUCAGGAUAUGGCCGGCCACAUGUGCAGUAUGAACCUUUGAAAUUGUGAUUAUAUGAAUUCUUCGUAUUUUCAACAUCUUUGCUAGCAUCAAGCUUGCAGAAGAACUCCCCAAACUUUGAAUUUCCACAGUCACACCUAAAGUUUCUCUUCGUCCAAAGUUCCAAAAUCUCAUGACCAUCAUGGCAAGAAAGGCUACAAGCUGU
rnacentral:misc_RNA from 1 species